GACGUAGGGCGCGAGCGUUGUUCGGAUUCAUUGGGCGUAAAGGGUGCGUAGGCGGCGCGGUAAGUCGGGUGUGAAAUCUUGGAGCUUAACUCCGAAACUGCAUUCGAUACUGCCGUGCUUGAGGACUGGAGAGGAGACUGGAAUUUACGGUGUAGCGGUGAAAUGCGUAGAUAUCGUAAGGAAGACCAGUGGCGAAGGCGGGUCUCUGGACAGUUCCUGACGCUGAGACACGAAGGCCAGGGGAGCAAACGGG
rnacentral:rRNA from 1 species